CUAACAAAUUAUAUUUGUGUUGAUUUAUCUCUCAUUCAGGAUGUGGGUCCCUUAAAGGGUUGUACCAACGGCAACAAGACAUUUUCAUUGAAUGUCGAGAUCCAACAAUCUUUGAGCAAAGAGAUAUUGACGCUCGAAAAGAGAUUACAAGACCAAGUUUCUGUUCGCGGUGCUCUCGAGAGGGCGCUUGGUUAUCGAGCUUCUUCACAUGACAUUACUAGUGAAGCCACAAUUCCAAAGGUUGCUGCCCUCUCUUUUACCAAAUUUUUCAACAGAACUCAUUAGAGAAAUUUCAGUUUUGGAGCUAGAAGUAGGGCAUCUCGAACAAUAUCUUCUUUCACUCUACAGGAAAGCAUUUGAUCCACAAGUUUCUACUGUAUCUCAGUUAAAGAAAGAUGAAGGAUUCAAAUCACCCUUAACAAUGCCAAGGAGAAGGUGCUUAGAUUUUUCAACAUCAGAUAUUACACCAGCCAAGGAAUCUACACUAGUUGUUGAAUUAUGUAAUUUUUUUCUAUAAUUUUAGUUUGAGAUUACUACUUAUUUGAUUUUUGGAGAGGGAGUGUGUGGUAUAAGAGGAAUUAACUGAGGAAGAUCAUUGUUGUUUGUGUUGUUUGUGGAUUGAUGCUUUGUUAUCUGUACAAUUUUUUAGUUUUAUUUUUUUGUGAAUAAUAAUUCACAUUUGCUUAUGUUUUAAAUA